AUGGGCGCGCACCCCGACGCCAAGGACGACCCGCGGUUCCCAUGCCGCCGCCGAGCCUGCGUGCACCCACCAAUUCCACCGAACACGCCGCCACAGGUGCCCAAGCCCAACACCAGUCGGCUGGUGGACGCGCCGUCGAGCUACGCCACGGCCGGCAAGGUCCUGUUCGUCGCGGCCGGGGCGUUCGCGGGCGUCCUCCUGGCCCUCAUCGCCCUGCACCUCUACAACAGCGGCCGGCGCCAGCGCGCGCGAGAUCGUCGCCGCCUCAACCGCAGCCUGGCCAUCUACGUCGGCGACGCGGACGAGGAGGCGCCUUCGCCGCGGGGGCUCGACCCCGCGGUGCUCCGCGCGCUCCCCGUGGUCGCCGUGGCCGUCGGCGCCGGGGACUGCGCGGUCUGCCUCGCCGAGUUCGAGCGCGGCGAGGAGGCGCGCGCGCUGCCGCGGUGCGGCCACCGGUUCCACGUCGAGUGCAUCGAUGCCUGGUUCCGCGGGAACUCCACGUGCCCCCUGUGCCGCGCCGCCGUCGAGGCGCCGGACGACGCCGUGGCCCAUCCCGAGGUGCGCGUCGAUGUGGCGGCCGACGACGACGCCGCGGCCAAGGGCGGAGUGCCGGUGAUAAUCGGGCGGCACGGAUCUUGA
rnacentral:rRNA from 1 species